UACGGAGGGUGCGAGCGUUGUUCGGAAUCACUGGGCGUAAAGGGCGUGUAGGCGGUCCGCUAAGUCUGAUGUGAAAGCCCCGGGGGCUCACCCCCCGGAAGUGCAUUGGAAACUGGCGGACUCGAGUCCGGCGAGAGGAGAGUGGAAUUCCUGGUGUAGCGGUGAAAUGCGUAGAUAUCGGAAGGAACAUCAGUGGCGAAAGCGACUUCCUGGACCAAUACUGACGCUCAUGUGCGAAAGCGUGGGGAGCAAACAGGG
rnacentral:rRNA from 1 species